UUUAUUGUUUGCUCAUCACAAGGUUAUCCACCUUCGAUCAUCAUCCGUUAAAUACGCGGUGGGACUUGUUAUGAUAUACCAACAUAACGCUUGUAAGCCACCGUUACUGUGUGUAAUCGAAUCCUGGACACACCAUGAUCCACCGUAGGAGAAUAUUUUGUAACGUCCUUUUCGACGAUGGGGAAUUCUUCCUUCGUUGCUGAAGAUAAUUUAAAACUCAACACUGAUGUGUCGUUCGUCAGCAGCCAUCCAAAUAUCGGGCUUUCUUUUGAACGUUUCAACGGCUGCCGAUACUCCAAUGCUGAGAUGAUGACCCUCUUCCCAGAGGAUGAAGCCUUUGCUCUUUCCCUGGUCGGAUAAAAUUAUACGUAUUAUCGCAUCGUAUUAUGUAAUUGCCUGCCUUUUACGUACAUUAGCUGCUAAAUAGUUUCAUCAAAUUUUACGAGAAAUCAAAAAAUUAUUUAGGCCAUUCAGGUUGUUUUUCUUAAUUCAACCAAUGUACAACUGUAUGUAAAAUUGUAAAUCAAGUUCUUGUUUCACCUUUUCAUUCAU